rnacentral:rRNA from 1 species
GACGUAGGGCGCGAGCGUUGUCCGGAUUUAUUGGGCGUAAAGAGCUCGUAGGCGGCUUGUCGCGUCGUGUGUGAAAUCUCAGGGCUCAACUCUGACAUUGCAUACGAUACGGGCAGGCUUGAGUUCGGUAGGGGAGACUGGAAUUCCUGGUGUAGCGGUGAAAUGCGCAGAUAUCAGGAGGAACACCGGUGGCGAAGGCAGGUCUCUGGGCAUUAACUGACGCUGAGGAGCGAAAGCAUGGGGAGCGAACAGG